GACCCAUCUGUUGGAAUUCUGCACCUCUCCCUUCAUUUCCUUUUCAUUUUUCACUUGUUCACCAAAACCAGACAAACACGAAGCGAUGUCAUAAUACUCCUGCCGAUCGAUAAAAGAUUUGGAGAUGGACUGUAGAUCUCCCAAUCUGAUCUGGAAGUGGAAUCGCAUUCGUGUUCUUAGCAGGGGAGGAUUUCAUCAUCUGAAGGUUGUGAUUGGUCCUCUCACUUAUCUUUUGGUCUUGCUAGUCAGUGAAUUCAAACAGGUGGAGUGCAUUGGGUUCAAGGCGGAGAAGUUAGCUUUUUUAUUCAGAGCUUUGUUUGUAGGCGUGCAAAAGACCACCAAGCUUCACCUUCCUGGCCUCCUCUUUCAUGGCUCCAAACGUGCUCCUCCAUCACGGAGAAUAGAUUUAGCUUCGUGCAGUUUGUAGGAGAAAAAUUAACUGCCUUUUUGCUUGUUUGCAGGUGUCAUCAGAACUCUAAAUUCAAAUAUUGUAUCUUCGACAAUAGGUGUCAUCGAAGACGAGCACACACACGUCUUGUGAGGUGAAAACCAGUCAUCUGGCGUGUUGUGGGACCAUCUGGUACUCAGGAUAUACCAUGAAAAAAAAGCCAGAUCACACUAAGCCAUUUGAAGUACACACGGAUGCGUCACCAUAGGCGGUGUGCUAGUAUAAUAAGCUACGUAAGGAGCCUCGUCAAAGCUCCAGUAGUGACCAAUUGCCUUGCUUCUGGCAUGGGGGAGCAGCUUUUCUUAUUUGCUUCAAGACCAGUGGUCAUGGUUUAUGAUCAAGGAAUAGCACAUCCAAAAGAAGAGAGGUGCGUGGCUCGUCAGUAGCAGUGGUAACCUGCAGCUUUGACUUUCUUUGUGAGUUUGAAAGUGCUACAGAGACGAGACGCUGCUGCCAGGAUUUGAGAGAGCAAAGUUGUCGCUGCUACAAUAUGGGGAGGCCUGCUGCUGGGAUUUGAGAGCGCAAGGCCUGCACCAGAGGUGCUGCUCUGAUAUGUUCAUCGGGACGCUGCCCGGCAUGGUUCAUCGGGACGCUGCCCGGCAUGGUUCAUCGGGACGCUGCCCGGCAUGGUCAUCGGGACGCUGCCCGGCAUGGUAUUUUUUUUUGCUUUGGUAUGGCAUCGUUGAGAGGCUUGUGACAUCAAAAGAAGGUGGAGCGUGGAAGGGAGGGAGUAUCAACCUUUGUGGUGUCUUGGAUAUCUCCUCUGAGCUUCGCCUUCCUCUGCAGCAGGGCUUCGGCUAUUCCCCUUCCUCUCCGCGUCCUAUCUUCUUGCUGUCUCCUCACGCUGUUCUCUGCUUCUUCACGAUCCUCCCCCUCUUGACGUACGUGGACUUCUCUUUUAUAGGAGUCGUAGAUAAGACUUUGAAUUUCAAUUAGCCUUAAACUCCAAUACUUGCACAGCAACAUAUAUUUUAGCUAGCUGUAUGGUUCCUUUCUUUUAGAGAUAGAUAGGAAACAAUAAUAAAUUAAUAAUCCACAUGAAGAGGUGGUAUCUGUUCUGGCUC